rnacentral:misc_RNA from 1 species
AAGUUGAGACGUUUGGAGGUUGCUUUGAUAGAAUACCGUGAAUCCCUUGAGGAGCGAGGGAUGAAAAGUGUAGAGGAAAUUGAGAGGAAAGUUGCAAUCCAUCGGAAAUGGCUACAGUCAGAAUAUGGUUUAUUGGUUUCUUCUCAAGAUGUCCCUGGGAACAGUAAGAGAACAUCUUCAGAAAGGAGGGAUAGAAGGGAUGAUAGCCGUGAAUCAUCACGAAAGCGACACCGCAGCCAGAGCAGAAGCCAGAGCCCACAAAGGAAAACAUCAACCAGGGACAAGGAGAGGGAAAUUGAUUUAGAAAGGGAGCGGGAAAGGCACUGGGAUAGAGAUAGAGCUCAUGAUUUGGAAAGUGAAAGGUGGGAGAGGGAUCGCCGCGAGAAGAGUGGGAGUAGAGAGCGGGAUGAUCAUGAUAGGGAGAGAGGUAGAGGUAGAGAUAGAGAUAGAAGGAGACGAGUAAAGUGAGUUAAUUGGUUUAUGGCACUCGAGGAAUGAUGUAGAAUUUCUUUGCCUGACAGAUUUGACUCUUUCUAAAUGUCAAUGGAUGUGAUACUUAGGAGUGAAAUUGGUCUGAGUGUUGAAGUGGGAACGUUUAGAUGAAGAGAUUAAUUGGCUUAUCAAUGCCUCCAUGGAAUGUCUGCCUUCCCGGUGAGAACCUGAGGGUGGAAAAUGCUUCUUGUUAAACAAUGUUGUAGUUAGAUGUAUUUUCAUUUUGCCAUUAAAAAUUUAAUGUCAUGGUUGUGUUUAAAUGCUCAAUGAUUCAGUGUAUUGCUGCAGUAAAUUGCAUAUAGAUUUAGCCAUCACAUUAGUCCUUGCGUUCACAUUUUCAAUUUUAAAAUAUUUAGAUUAUAGU